rnacentral:tRNA from 1 species
GGGGAUGUAGCUCAGCUGGGAGAGCGCCUGCCUUGCACGCAGGAGGUCGGCGGUUCGAAUCCGCUCAUCUCCACCA